rnacentral:rRNA from 1 species
GUCGAACGAUGCUUUCGGGCAUAGUGGCGCACGGGUGCGUAACGCGUGGGAAUCUGCCCUUGGGUCUGGGAUAACAGUUGGAAACGACUGCUAAUACCGGAUGAUAUCGCGAGAUCAAAGAUUUAUCGCCCGAGGAUGAGCCCGCGUAGGAUUAGCUAGUUGGUGGGGUAAAGGCCUACCAAGGCGACGAUCCUUAGCUGGUCUGAGAGGAUGAUCAGCCACACUGGGACUGAGACACGGCCCAGACUCCUACGGGAGGCAGCAGUGGGGAAUAUUGGACAAUGGGCGAAAGCCUGAUCCAGCAAUGCCGCGUGAGUGAUGAAGGCCUUAGGGUUGUAAAGCUCUUUUACCCGGGAUGAUAAUGACAGUACCGGGAGAAUAAGCCCCGGCUAACUCCGUGCCAGCCGCCG